rnacentral:rRNA from 1 species
CCAGACUCCUACGGGAGGCAGCAGUGGGGGAUAUUGCACAAUGGGGGGAACCCUGAUGCAGCGACGCCGCGUGGGUGAAGAAGCGCCUCGGCGCGUAAAGCCCUGUCAGCAGGGAAGAAAAUGACGGUACCUGAAGAAGAAGCCCCGGCUAACUACGUGCCAGCAGCCGCGGUAAUACGUAGGGGGCAAGCGUUAUCCGGAUUUACUGGGUGUAAAGGGGGCGCAGACGGCGAUGCAAGCCAGGAGUGAAAGCCCGGGGCCCAACCCCGGGACUGCUCUUGGAACUGCGUGGCUGGAGUGCAGGAGGGGCAGGCGGAAUUCCUGGUGUAGCGGUGAAAUGCUUAGAGAUCAUACAGAACGCCGAUUGCGAAGGCAGCUUACCAAUCUAUAUCUGACGUUGAGGCACGAAAGCGUGGGGAGCAAACAGGAUUAGAUACCCGGGUA